AAAAUAAUUUACCCAAAACUCUUGUUGAGAUGUAGUGUUUGCUAAGAGCGUGGGUUACCUACCCUAGACUUAAAACUAUUGUGAUUGAGGAGGAGAGGUAUUCUCGGAAUCAAAAAGUAUACAAAAAUUAUUAGUUCCAGACAAGGAGCCCAAUGAUUACUGAUAAGAAUUAACAUUCCUGAACAAUGAUAUAAGAAAGGGCAACUCUGAGUUGGAUGUUUGUAAGUAAAGAGGGGAAUGUUAUGAUAGAAGAGUAUUCAGAGCAAAACAAAGUAGUUUCUUUAAAAAAAAAAAACAGGAAAUUAAGUCUUUUUGUAUCCUCGUUAUUAUUAAUUUGAAAUUAUACUGUAAGAUCUUUAAAACCCAUCUUUCAGUUCUUUUGAGAAGCAGUUCCUAAGGUGCAUUUUGGCAGAAAAUAUCAUUGUUAUGUGAAUAGAGGGUUCUGUGGCCAAAUCAAUUUGGGAAAUGCUGGGUUAUAAGGUUAAGUUACUGUGGGCUUUUCAGAACCCUUGAUGUGCUGUUGUGUGGUUUCAGUCUCCAAGAAGGGCCUACAUUUUAUACACCAUUUCCCUAAUUUGUUAAUGUGGAUUCUUUUUAAAAGUAGGUGUCUUGUAGGAUUUGGGUUCUGAGAAACACACUUAGGGAAAUACUGCCCUAGCGUGUUUUUGCUUGUUUGUGCUCAUUGCCAAGGUUUCCUGUUGUUGGGUGCCCCCCUGGUGAGUGGUGAUCAAAUGGGAAGAGACAGGUCAGGACUCCCUUGGACCAGGAUGUUGAGAGGGAGUGGCUGUGGAUUAGAUAGGUUGGGAUUUUAGGCACAUGUGAGGCCCCUGGUCAGUCUACCCCUUUCCCUGGGAGUUGGCUUGGAACAGCUGAACAGGGGUGUGAACUGGUCAUUUCAGAGAACUAACUAGUUCUUACAUGUCUGAGACAAAGGGAACCAACUUGAAAUUCCAGAACAAUUUCCAAACCGUUUUUGGCUGUGCUUUAAAAUGCCAAAAAAGCGAUGGGUAUUUAUAGCACUGAAGUCCAUACAAGCUGGUUAUUUUAUACAUAUAAACACAUACAGAUAUAUAUGUAUAGACACACACAUACACAGUGUCGUAGAAAGUUUACAGCUGCUUCAGUGACAAAGCAAAGAAGUUGAAUGUUUUCAGAUUCUAUUGUUACUGAAGCCAUGGUCUAAACAAGGAUUGUGUGUAUGUGUUUGCAUUUUCUAGGAUGAGGGUUUACAGUUUUCAUUAACUUCUCUGCGGUUUCUGUAUCCUAAAAAACUUAAAUCUCACUAGACCUCCAGAUUUUAGAGGACUAAGUAUGUUUGAUUUCAUUUCAAAGUACAAAACCAGAUCACUGAUCAGAUGUAAGGAUGCUUUUUGUUUGUUUUCUGCAAUGUGUCCAGUUGCAUAAUUGAAACUCCAUGCUUUGGCUGUGUAUUUGACAGGCCUGCCUUUGGGUUUUGAGUUGUGGUGUAAUGCUGAACGUCUAACCACAAGAAAAGCAGUUGGAUCUUGGUUCUCAUUCCUCAGUUUUCCUCAUGCAAAUUCAGAGAAAUGUCUCUUUUAAUCAUUUAGUUUACGUAUCCCAGAUCCUUGGAAAUCAAGCAAAAUGACCUGCCAGAGUUUGCGUCAGUCCUCAGCCAGUCAUGCACUGUAGAGAAGGUUGUGCUGGCCAUUCGUUCUCUGGACCGUUGGCUACUUCUUUUGCAAUCCUGCAUCUUUCUUCUGGGAGAAGGAAGACUGUACUCAAACUUUUAUGUUAAUUGCAUCUACAUGAGCUUUAUUCCUCUUCUGACUCAAUGUUUUAUUUGUAAAAUAAGAAAUAAUGUCUUUCCAUUUUUCUGUUCAUCCUUGAAGUAGAAAUUUGAGGUGUUUAUAAUGUAGCUUGAGCUUUCUGGAAGAUUGACAGCAAAGAAGAUAAAUAAGAAAUACAUGUGUACACAUAGUGGUUUUGUUCCACCAAGCCUAUCUUUGAAUGGUAAACAUUUUAAACAUCUGUUCUAGUGUACAAAUACUAUGGUUUUGUUAUAAAGUAAACAUCUUAGAAUAAGCAAUGUUGAUCAUAAUUUCAAUAUUCUAGUCUUGCCUAGUGUGAAUAUGUUUUACUCAGAGACCAUGUAUAAAUACCCAGAAGUGGUGAUGAUGAUCAAUGUUGUAAAGAAUUUAUUCUGAUAAAUGAGAAACUGGACAUAAUGUCAAAAUAGCUAUUUUCACAAUAAAAUCUCAAAUUGCCAGAAUGUUUAUUAA